ACUCAGUGACAAAGCUUCUUCUGUUUUCUGCGCCACCUCAUAUUAUACUCUGAAGCAGCUAUGGGUUCCUACAGGAUCAUCCAGCAUACAAGUGUCAGUGACACGGGGAUCAUACAAAUAAUGAAGCAGAGGGCCCAAGUUUUCUCUAUGGAGCACCAGAAGGUUCCACACUGCCAGAAGGUUCUAUCCACUGCACCUGAGAACAGAGGCAAUCGGCGAGUGCAAACAGGACUCUGACUAUCCCUGAUUUCUUUUUAGAAGAGGAAGAGAUACCGAGGAUGCCUGCACACAGAAAAAAAGAUAUUACGACGGCAAGCUAAGGAUAGAGGCUGCCCCAGAAACCAACACUGCUGGGACUUUACUCUUGGACUUCCAGCCUCCAAAACUGCAGUGGAAUCUAGCUCCUUCUCCUUGAAUCUUGGCUGGCUUGUGACUGCUUUGACUAAUAGAGUACAGCAAAAGUGACUCUGCUACUUCAGGCCUAUUUUUUUAUGAAGCUAGAAGCUUCAGCCUUGGUUUCUUGAAGCCUGAGAUGCCAUGCAUGAGGUUCAACAAUUUGUGGAAGAGUCCAUGUGGAGAGACCCGUAGACUAAAUGGGGAGGGAGCACUCCAGCUACCCAGGCUAAGGUAUUAGGUAUUUGAAUAAAGUUGUCUUGGAAUCUCC